rnacentral:tRNA from 11 species
ACGUAGCCUGGCGGUAGCACGCCGGGCUCCAAGCACAACGGUCGCGGGUUCAAGUCCGGGCU